AUUGAACGCUGGCGGCAUGCCUUACACAUGCAAGUCGAACGGCAGCACGGGAGCAAUCCUGGUGGCGAGUGGCGAACGGGUGAGUAAUAUAUCGGAACGUGCCCAGUCGUGGGGAUAACGUAGCGAAAGCUACGCUAAUACCGCAUACGAUCUAUGGAUGAAAGCGGGGGACCGCAAGACCUCGCGCGAUUGGAGCGGCCGAUAUCAGAUUAGGUAGUUGGUGAGGUAAAGGCUCACCAAGCCGACGAUCUGUAGCUGGUCUGAGAGGACGACCAGCCACACUGGGACUGAGACACGGCCCAGACUCCUACGGGAGGCAGCAGUGGGGAAUUUUGGACGAUGGGCGCAAGCCUGAUCCAGCAAUGCCGCGUGCAGGAUGAAGGCCU
rnacentral:rRNA from 1 species